UACGGAGGGUGCAAGCGUUACUCGGAAUCACUGGGCGUAAAGAGCGCGUAGGCGGGAUAGCAAGUCAGAUGUGAAAUCCUAUGGCUUAACCAUAGAACUGCAUUUGAAACUGCCAUGCUGGAGUGCCGGAGAGGUAAGCGGAAUUCCUAGUGUAGCGGUGAAAUGCGUAGAUAUUAGGAGGAACACCAGUGGCGAAGGCGGCCUGCUGGACGACAACUGACGGUGAGGCGCGAAAGCGUGGGGAGCAAACAGG
rnacentral:rRNA from 1 species